AUACGUAGGUGGCAAGCGUUGUCCGGAUUUAUUGGGCGUAAAGCGAGCGCAGGCGGUUUCUUAAGUCUGAUGUGAAAGCCCCCGGCUUAACCGGGGAGGGUCAUUGGAAACUGGGAGACUUGAGUGCAGAAGAGGAGAGUGGAAUUCCAUGUGUAGCGGUGAAAUGCGUAGAUAUAUGGAGGAACACCAGUGGCGAAGGCGGCUCUCUGGUCUGUAACUGACGCUGAGGCUCGAAAGCGUGGGGAGCAAACAGGAUUAGAUACCCUGGUAGUCCACGCCGUAAACGAUGAGUGCUAAGUGUUGGAGGGUUUCCGCCCUUCAGUGCUGCAGCAAACGCAUUAAGCACUCCGCCUGGGGAGUACGACCGCAAGGUUGAA
rnacentral:rRNA from 1 species